rnacentral:misc_RNA from 1 species
GCUUCCGAACUUGCAAGUCAACGCCGUAACAACUAUUCUCAACCUCUCCAUCCUUGAGGCAAACAAAACAAGGAUAAUGGAAACUGACGGAGCUAUAAACAGCGUUAUUGAGGUGCUACGGUCGGGUGCCACGUGGGAGGCAAAGGCCAAUGCGGCGGCCUGCCUUAUUCAGCUUAUCGGGUGUGCACUCAUAUCGGAAGCGACUGGGAAGGAAAACACGCGUCAUAAAGGGACUGAUGGAUUUAGCUAAAAGUGGGAACAAGUGUUCAAAAAAGGACGCUUUGAUGGCGAUUUUGAAUUUGGCGGGAGAUAGAGAAACGGUUGG